CCCCUAGACGUUCUGGGCUGCACGCGCGCUACAAUAAUACGCACAGCGAGUAUCACCGAGCUCGAAAGGGCAAGGUAAACAAUAGAAAAGGUACUGUAAUGGUUAUAGAUCCUUGGAAUUAUUGAUCUUCAACGAGGAAUUCCUAGUAAGUAUGUGUCAUCAUCACGCACUGAUUACGUCCCUGCCCUUUGUACACACCGCCCGUCGCUCCUACCGAUUGGGUGAGCCGAUGAAACUCUCGGAUGUAGGCUAUUCAUAGCCCGCAGAAGAGAUUUGAAUCGUAGCGCUUAGAGGAAGGAGAAGUCGUAACA
rnacentral:rRNA from 1 species